UGAAUUUUCUUCCUGGCUCCUUUGUASCUUGGCGUAAUGCCUUACAUAUGCAAGUCGAACGGUAGAGGGGGCAACCCCUCGAGAGUGGCGAACGGGUGAGUAAUGCAUCGGAACGUGCCCAGUUGUGUGGGAUAGCCCGGCGAAAGCCGGAUUAAUACCGCAUACGACCUGAGGGUGAAAGCGGGGGAUCGUAAGACCUCGCGCAAUUGGAGCGGCCGAUGUCGGAUUAGGUAGUUGGUGGGGUAAAGGCCUACCAAGCCUGCGAUCCGUAGCUGGUCUGAGAGGACGACCAGCCACACUGGGACUGAGACACGGCCCAGACUCCUACGGGAGGCRGCAGUGGGGAAUUUUGGACAAUGGGGGAAACCCUGAUCCAGCCAUGCCGCGUGCGGGAAGAAGGCCUUCKRGUUGUAAACCGCUUUUGUCAGGGAAGAAAUCCUUUGGGCUAAUAUCCUAGGGGGAUGACGGUACCUGAAGAAUAAGCACCGGCUAACUACGUGCCAGCAGCCGCGGUAAUACGUAGGGUGCGAGCGUUAAUCGGAAUUACUGGGCGUAAAGCGUGCGCAUGCGGUCGCACAAGACAGAUGUGAAAUCCCCGGGCUUAACCUGGGAAACUGCAUUUGUGACUGUGUGGCUAGAGUACGGUAGAGGGGAGUGGAAWUUCCGCGUGUAACMGUGGAAAUGCGUAGAUAUGCGGGAGGAAYACCCGAUGGCGARGGCAGCUUCCUGGAACCUGUACUGACGCUCAUGCACGAAAGCGUGGGGAGCAAMCRGGAUUAAAUUACUCUGGWAGYCSRCG
rnacentral:rRNA from 1 species